rnacentral:rRNA from 1 species
CCCUUAGAUGAUUUGGGCCGCACGCGCGCUACACUGUUCGACGCAGCGAGUCUUAACCUUGACCGAAAGGUUUGGGUAAUCUUCAGCAAAGUCGAACGUGAUGGGGAUCGAUCAUUGCAAUUAUUGAUCGUGAACGAGGAAUUCCUAGUAAGUGCAAGUCAUCAGCUUGCGCUGAUUACGUCCCUGCCCUUUGUACACACCGCCCGUCGCUACUACCGAUUGAAUGGUUUAGUGAGAUCUCUGGAUUGACGCUGGCUAGGGGGCGACCCUUGGCCAGACUGUUGAGAAACUGCUCAAACUUGAUCAUUUAGAGGAAGUAAAAGUCGUAACA